ensembl:snRNA
GUGUUGUAUGAAAGGAGAGAAGGUUAGCACUCCCCUUGAUAAGGAUGGAAGAGGUCCUAGUGGCCUUUACAACACAUAUACGGUUAAGGCAUUGCCACCUACUCUGUGGCAUCUAACCAUGUUUUUUU